rnacentral:rRNA from 1 species
GUAGGGAAUAUUGGGCAAUGGUCGGAAGACUGACCCAGCCAUGCCGCGUGCAGGAAGACGGCCCUCUGGGUUGUAAACUGCUUUUAUCUGGGAAGAAAAAGGCCAUGCGUGGCAAAUUGCCGGUACCAGAUGAAUAAGCACCGGCUAACUCCGUGCCAGCAGCCGCGGUAAUACGGAGGGUGCGAGCGUGGUCCGGAUUUAUUGGGUUUAAAGGGUGCGUAGGCGGCUGAUUAAGUCAGCGGUGAAAGACUUCGGCUUAACCGGAGCAGUGCCGUUGAUACUGGUGGGCUUGAGUGUCGGAGGGGUACAUGGAAUUGAUGGUGUAGCGGUGAAAUGCAUAGAUACCAUCAGGAACACCGAUAGCGAAGGCAUUGUACUGGCCGACAACUGACGCUGAUGCACGAAAGUGUGGGGAUCGAACAGGAUUAGAUACCCCUGUAGUCC